UUGUCAUCUCUGAGGCUCACUGCCUCAGUGGGCUAACCAAGGCCUAGUCCUGGAAGCUUCUAGCCUCCAUAUAAUGUAACCUAGGCCUAGAGUGUUUUUCAGCCUCUGAGACCGGCUACUGAGUGUGUGGGCACACAUGUGGGGAUGCACUGCACGUGUGCAAAAGCUGACAUUACCUGUCUUCCUUGAUCACUCGGCACCCCAAACACUGAGGUGACCUCAAACAGACACCACGGACACGGAGGUAAGCGCCAGGCUGAGGAGGCCGGAAGCAAAGACUGAGCUGGGAUGGGAGCCGGGCACAGUGCUCUAACCAGAUAGAUGCCUCAGAGAGCAGACGUGGUGUUACACAGCUCUAAUCCCAGCAUCCAGGAAGCUGAGACAGAGGACUGGGUGUUCCAGAGCCUGGACUACAUGGUGAAAUCCUGUCUCCAAAGGAGAUGUUGCGGGCACACCACAGGGAGCCUCUAGUAGGGUAAUACCCGGUGAGCCUUUGGCUGGUAACCCAGGAGCACCGUGGACAUUGGUGAGGUACAAGGUGGAUGUGUCUGUCCUGUGCCUAAUCUACAACUAUAUUCUGGAACACAGCAGUGCCUGGAUUUUAUAGUUUCAAGGGUGGAGAGCACAUGCCUCUGGGAUGGACCCUGAGUCUCACACACAUCUAAUACAGCUGACUUUGAACCUCAGAUGUCUGACAUGACAUCAGAACUGUUAAGACAUUGGGGUGAUUGGCUGGCAUGAUUGUGUCAGAACAGAAGAUAUAAAUUUAGAGAGUCCAGGGGCUAUGUGCUCCAGGCUGGAGAGCCAUGUCCUGCCAAAAUCUGAAUGUUAAAAUCCUGUUAGAAUCCAGACCAGACUACGACACAGGCCACAAUGCCUGCAGCAGCUCCCCAGCUUCAGGUACUAGCAGGCACCCUACUGAGACCACUGCUUGACUCCUUAACAGACUUGCAGGUGCCUGGAUUUCCUACCUGGGGAAGUGAGUUUGCAGGCUGAGACACAUGUGCCCCUUCCCUGCCACCUUCUGGGAGUUGGAGAACCUGCUCAGUCCUGCUGUGAGGCUUUCCUUCCUCAGAGACUUCUAAGAAGAGACCAUACUGUCUAUGGUGCUAGGUCCAGAGCCCUUCAGAGUAUCUGUCUGUCUGUCUGUCCGUGGUGUUACUAACUCCCUGUGGAGAGGGGAGAAAUCCUCGACUAAAUGUUUAAGGAGUGAAUAAAGUAGUGGGUGUGUCUUA
rnacentral:sRNA from 1 species